GCUGUGAUGACAUCCAUUAUGAAUUGAUCUUUAAAGAAUUGAUUAUCUUCUCUAAGAAGUCCUGAGCUC